GGGGAUUUAGCUCAGCGGCAUAAGCACCUGCCUUGAAAGCAGGCAGUCGUGAGUUUGAUCCCCG
rfam:Cavia porcellus supercont2_13 genomic scaffold, whole genome shotgun sequence.